GUCUCUGGCCAUACCACGCUGUAUGUACCCGUCCUGAUCUCCUCCGAUCUCACAAGCUAAGCAGGGCUGGGGCUAGGUUAGAGCUU
rnacentral:rRNA from 1 species